CGUAAAUUAUAUAAUGCAUCAUAAAUAUAAGCCUGACGUCUCCUCGCCGUGGAAAACGCCUCUGGCAGAUUUCCAGCUGCUGGGUUUCAAGUCUUUGCAGUACGUCUGACGGUGGAAAAAAGCAUGAAUAAUGGAAGACAGCCUAUAUUCUUCCCCCGCUGUGGGUGGGGGAGGAAGGGAGCAGCCUGAGCUUCAGGCCAGUCCCGGCAGCAGCGUCGGCCUCACGUGGAUCACAGCAGAGCUCAUUCCUGAAGAUUACAGGCACCAUAACGCUCAAACGUGGCACUUUGUUUGUCAGGUUUGUCGCCUGGAUGCAAUGAGGCAAUUAAAAACAAA
ensembl:lncRNA